rfam:Capsicum annuum cultivar Zunla-1 chromosome 1, whole genome shotgun sequence
AGUCACGCAAUGCACACAGAACGAACUAUUCUUUCUUCUUUUACUAAAGAAUACCGUGUGAGCAUUGUAAAUAGUGACAUAUGCCAAUUUUUGAAGGGUCCUUUUCAUUGAGGGUCC